UGCCCUUCUCUAAGGAAUAGCCACUGGAAACGGUGAGUAAUACCUUAUACGCCCUUCGGGGGAAAGAUUUAUCGGAGAAGGAUUAGCCCGCGUAAGAUUAGAUAGUUGGUGGGGUAAUGGCCUACCAAGUCUACGAUCUUUAGCUGGUUUUAGAGGAUGAUCAGCAACACUGGGACUGAGACACGGCCCAGACUCCUACGGGAGGCAGCAGUGGGGAAUCUUGGACAAUGGGCGCAAGCCUGAUCCAGCCAUGCCGCGUGAGUGAUGAAGGCCUUAGGGUCGUAAAGCUCUUUCGCCAGAGAUGAUAAUGACAGUAUCUGGUAAAGAAACCCCGGCUAACUCCGUGCCAGCAGCCGCGGUAAUACGGAGGGGGUUAGCGUUGUUCGGAAUUACUGGGCGUAAAGCGCACGUAGGCGGAUCAGAAAGUAAGGGGUGAAAUCCCAGGGCUCAACCCUGGAACUGCCUCUUAAACUCCUGGUCUUGAGUUCGAGAGAGGUGAGUGGAAUUCCGAGUGUAGAGGUGAAAUUCGUAGAUAUUCGGAGGAACACCAGUGGCGAAGGCGGCUCACUGGCUCGAUACUGACGCUGAGGUGCGAAAGUGUGGGGAGCAAACAGGAUUAGAUACCCUGGUAGUCCACACCGUAAACGAUGAAUGCCAGUCGUCGGGUAGCAUGCUAUU
rnacentral:rRNA from 1 species